CGUUGGUUCCACUGAAGCAAUUAUGGCUAUUGGUAAUGUACUAGGGGCACGCGGGAAGAGCUACAAACAGCUGGAGGGGAAACAUUUCUUCACUUCUGUUAACUGUUUGCACAGAUCAUCAUGGGUCUUGGUUCCAUUAUCGUUGCUCUUGCGGUUUUCGGCGCCUGCCACGGAUUCCACCAGCCAUCAACCAUUGCAGUCCAUGAUAUACAAGUUACUCUCUACACCAGCCAUACACCAGUGCAGUCCAUGAUAUACAAGUUACUCUCUACACCAGCCAUCCACCAGUGCAGUCCAUGAUAUACAAGUUACUCUCUACAGCCAUCCACCAGUGCAGUCCAUGAUAUACAAGUUACUCUCUACACACACAUAAAUGAGCUGCACUCUGAGACAAAUGGUCUAAAUGCAUGUGCAUAAAGUGUCUUCCCUGAUUAGCCUAUGUAGUCCGCACAGGCUAAUCAAGGACGACUCUUUCCGCCUAAACUGGAUUAUUUCCAACAAAAGACUUUCUUUUAACGAAAAAAAACAUAAAAGCUUAAAAAGUGUUGACCUGAUUAGGAUAAGGGGACUGCAUAGGAUCAUCUUGAAAGACACAUUACACAUAUGGAUUAUGCCCCUUUUUCUCGCAGCGCAGCUCCAAUGAUUGAGUUAAAAUCCUAGACGAAAUCUAGAUGAAGUGCUG